UACGGAGGGUGCAAGCGUUAUCCGGAUUUACUGGGCGUAAAGGGCGCGUAGGCGGCCACGACAAGUCACUUGUGAAAUCUCCGGGCUUAACUCGGAACGGUCAAGUGAUACUGUCGGGCUAGAGUACAGAAGGGGCAACUGGAAUUCUCGGUGUAGCGGUGAAAUGCGUAGAUAUCGAGAGGAACACCUGCGGCGAAGGCGGGUUGCUGGGCUGAUACUGACGCUGAGGAGCGAAAGCGUGGGGAGCGAACAGG
rnacentral:rRNA from 1 species